AUACAGAGGGUGCGAGCGUUAAUCGGAAUUACUGGGCGUAAAGCGCGCGUAGGCGGCUUAUUAAGUCAGAUGUGAAAUCCCCGGGCUCAACCUGGGAACUGCAUCUGAUACUGGUAAGCUAGAGUUUUGGAGAGGGAAGUAGAAUUUCAGGUGUAGCGGUGAAAUGCAUAGAGAUCUGAAGGAAUACCAGUGGCGAAGGGGACUUCCUGGCCAAAAACUGACGCUGAGGUGCGAAAGCGUGGGUAGCAAACGGGAUUAGAAACCCUAGUAGUCC
rnacentral:rRNA from 1 species